rnacentral:rRNA from 1 species
CUUCCCCCUUAGAGUUUGAUCAUGGCUCAGAUUGAACGCUGGCGGCAUGCCUUACACAUGCAAGUCGAACGGUAACGCGGGGCAACCUGGCGACGAGUGGCGAACGGGUGAGUAAUGCAUCGGAACGUGCCCAGUAGUGGGGGAUAGCCCGGCGAAAGCCGGAUUAAUACCGCAUACGACCUACGGGUGAAGGGGGGGGAUCGCAAGACCUCUCGCUAUUGGAGCGGCCGAUGUCAUAUUAGGUAGUUGGUGGGGUAAAGGCCUACCAAGCCGACGAUCUGUAGCUGGUCUGAGAGGACGACCACCCACACUGGGACUGAGACACGGCCCACACUCCUACGGGAGGCAGCAGUGGGGAAUUUUGGACAAUGGGCGCAAGCCUGAUCCAGCCAUGCCGCGUGCGGAAAGAAGGCCUUCGGGUUGUAAACCGCUUUUGUCAGGGAAGAAAUCUUCUGGGUUAAUACCUCGGGAGGAUGACGGUACCUGAAGAAUAAGCACCGGCUAACUACGUGCCAGCAACCGCGGUAAUACGUAGGGUGCAAGCGUUAAUCGGAAUUACUGGGCGUAAAGCGUGCGCAGGCGGUUAUGCAAGACAGAUGUGAAAUCCCCGGGCUCAACCUGGGAACUGUAUUUGUGACUGCAUGGCUAGAGUACAGGAAAAAGGGGGGAAUGGAAUUUCCGGCGUGGUACCAUUGAAAUGCGUAAAAUAUGGCGGAAGGAACCCCGGAUGGGCGAAGGCCAUCCCCUGGACCUGUACUGACGCUCAUGCACGAAGCGGUGGAGAGCAACAGGAUAGAUACCCUGUUAGUCCACGCCCUAACGAUUCCACUGUUGUUAGGAAACUUCUCCUCUCCAAAACGUACCAACGCGUGAAGUUGACCGCCUGGAGGGAGUACCGCCGCAAGGAUGACUGAGAUCGACGGCACGCAUCGGUGGAUAAAUGAGUGUAUUAUAACUCG